GGGAGCCCGAUGUGGGACUCGAUCCCAGGACCCUGGGAUCAUGACCUGAGCCGAAGGCAGACGCCCAACGACUGAACCACCCAGGCGUCCCUGAAUACUUAUAUUCUAACACAGUAUUUGGAGUAACAGUAGAUGCUCAAAAAUGUGUGCGAGACAGGAAGCACGUGGUCAGAGACAGCCGCUUUGUGGGGCGCUAGCCCGCUGCAGGAUGGGGAGCAGGCUGGGGGCUGAGAGAAGAUGGUCAGAGUGGACUCCCUGGGGAGGGACCCCGUCACAUACGAAACAGUUUUCCACUGUUGGCACUGGGUAUGCUGUGCCUACUGCCUGGGAGUUGCAAUGCCCCCAAAAGCAUGAUCCUCAGAGCCUAUCUUCAGCCUCCUUCCCUGUGCUCUCUCAUCAACACUAGUUCUACGAGGGCCGUUUUACUGUCCAAGUAGAAAGCUUUCUUUCCUCAGCAGCAAGCACUUGGCAUUUGCUCCACUGGGAAACACACUGAGAUUAAUUUCUUUCACCAGGGACGUCACUUAUGCAAAAAUAUAACCAGUUGAUGUUUACACACGUAACCAGCAGAGGGAGCCUCUGUCCAUUUCUGGCUUCAGGGCCAAGGGUAGACAAGAGGGGAAACAGCAAACUAAUUAGGAGAGCUGCAAGAAUCAGAGAAGCAAGAGAUCAACGUGGACCAGAACUCAAAUAGUACUAGCUUUUCCUUAUACUGAAGCCCAGUAUUCUUGGUUUUAGGUUCUUCUUUCCAUGGGACCUACAGGUCUUCCUUAGAAGUUGAUGAUUUUACAAAAGACCCCAAAUAGCCAAAGCAAUCUUGAAAAAGAAGAACAAAGCUGGGAGGUAUCACAAACUCAGAUUUCAAGAUAUACUACAAAGCUGUAGUAAUCAAAACAGUAUGGCACUGACACAAAAGUAGACAUAUAGAUCAAUGGAACAGAAGAGAGUCUAGAAAUCAACCCAUGCUUUUAUGGUCAAUUAGUCUAUGACAAAGGGGCAAGAAUAUACAAUGGGAAAAAGACAGUCUCUUCAACAAAUGGUGUUGGGAAAACUGGACAGCUACAUGCAAAAGAAUGAAACUGGCCCUUUUCCUUACACCAUACACAAAAAUAAACUCGAAAUGGAUUAAAGACCUAAAUGCGAAGAUAUUAAACCAUAAAAUUCCUAGAACAUAAACAGUA